CCUACGGGUGGCUGCAGUGGGGAAUAUUGGACAAUGGGCGAAAGCCUGAUCCAGCCAUGCCGCGUGUGUGAAGAAGGCCUUCGGGUUGUAAAGCACUUUCAGUGGGGAAGAAAGCCUUGGGGCUAAUACCCUCGAGGAAGGACAUCACCCACAGAAGAAGCACCGGCUAACUCCGUGCCAGCAGCCGCGGUAAUACGGAGGGUGCGAGCGUUAAUCGGAAUUACUGGGCGUAAAGCGCGCGUAGGCGGUCUGAUAAGCCGGUUGUGAAAGCCCCGGGCUCAACCUGGGAACGGCAUCCGGAACUGUCAGGCUAGAGUGCAGGAGAGGAAGGUAGAAUUCCCGGUGUAGCGGUGAAAUGCGUAGAGAUCGGGAGGAAUACCAGUGGCGAAGGCGGUCUUCUGGACUGACACUGACGCUGAGGUGCGAAAGCGUGGGUAGCAAACAGGAUUAGAUACCCUAGUAGUC
rnacentral:rRNA from 1 species